GUAAAGAGCUCGUAGGCGGUUCAACAAGUCGGUCGUGAAAGUUCAGGGCUCAACCCUGAAAUGUCGAUCGAUACUGUUGUGACUAGGAUACGGCAGAGGUGAGUGGAAUUCCGAGUGUAGCGGUGAAAUGCGUAGAUAUUCGGAGGAACACCAAUGGCGAAGGCAGCUCUCUGGCUCGUCACUGACGCUGAGGUGCGAAAGCGUGGGUAGCAAACAGGAUUAGAUACCCUGGUAGUCCACGCCGUAAACGAUGACAACUAGCCGUUGGGCAGAUUUAACUGUUCAGUGGCACAGCUAACGCAUUAAGUUGUCCGCCUGGGGAGUACGGCCGCAAGGCUAAAACUCAAAUGAAUUGACGGGGGCCCGCACAAGCGGUGGAGCAUGUGGUUUAAUUCGAUGAUACGCGAGGAACCUUACCAGGGCUUAAAUGUAAGUUGCAUGGAUCAGAGAUGAUCCUUUCUUCGGACUACUUACAAGGUGCUGCAUGGUU
rnacentral:rRNA from 1 species